rnacentral:misc_RNA from 1 species
UCCGGUUUGUCACCGGCAGUCUCGUUAAAGUGCCCAACCAAAUGAUGGCAAUUAACGACAAGGGUUGCGCUCGUUGCGGGACUUAACCCAACAUCUCACGACACGAGCUGACGACAGCCAUGCAGCACCUGUGUUGCGGUUCCCUUUCGGGCACCGAGGUAUCUCUACCCCGUUCCGCACAUGUCAAGGGUAGGUAAGGUUUUUCGCGUUGCAUCGAAUUAAUCCACAAAAUCCACCGCUUGUGCGGGUCCCCGUCAAUUCCUUUGAGUUUUAGCCUUGCGGCCGUACUCCCCAGGCGGUCAACUUCUCGCGUUAGCUGCGUUACUAAGGGAUUUAACUCCCCCAACAACUAGUAGACAUAGUUUAGGGCGUGGACUAC